UGGGGAAUCUUGCGCAAUGGCCGAAAGGCUGACGCAGCGACGCCGCGUGUGGGAUGAAGCAUUUCGGUGUGUAAACCACUGUUGCCCGGGACGAACAGCGCUUUUCGAGGCGCCUGACGGUACCGGGUGAGGAAGCACCGGCUAACUCCGUGCCAGCAGCCGCGGUAAUACGGAGGGUGCGAGCGUUGUCCGGUAUCACUGGGCGUAAAGGGCGCGUAGGUGGCGCGGGCAGUCAACGGUGAAAGUGCGGGGCUCAACCCUGAAUCGGCCAUCGAUACUCCCGGGCUUGAGCACUGUAGAGGCUAAUGGAAUUCCGGGUGUAGCGGUGGAAUGCGUAGAGAUCCGGAAGAACACCGGUGGCGAAGGCGGUUAGCUGGGCAGUUGCUGACACUGAGGCGCGACAGCGUGGGGAGCAAACAGGAUUAGAUACCCUGGUAGUCCACGCCGUAAACGAUGGGUACUAGGUGCUUGGGGGAGCGACCCCCUGAGUGCCGGCGCUAACGCAUUAAGUACCCCGCCUGGGGAGUACGACCGCAAGGUUG
rnacentral:rRNA from 1 species